AAUUGGAGGGCAAGUCUGGUGCCAGCAGCCGCGGUAAUUCCAGCUCCAAUAGCGUAUAUUAAAGUUGUUGCAGUUAAAAAGCUCGUAGUUGAAUUUCGGGAUUGACACAUCGGUCGUGCCUUAAGGGUAUGAACUGGUGUAGUCAAUUUCUCACCUUCUGGAGAACGGCGAUGCCCUUAAUUGGGUGUCGCGGGGAACCAGGACCUUUACUUUGAAAAAAUUAGAGUGUUUAAAGCAGGCAUUUUGCUUGAAUACAUUAGCAUGGAAUAAUAAAAUAGGACGGCAUGAUUCUAUUUUGUUGGUUUCUAGGAUCACCGUAAUGAUUAAUAGGGAUAGUUGGGGGCAUUAGUAUUCAAUUGUCAGAGGUGAAAUUCUUGGAUUUAUUGAAGACUAACUACUGCGAAAGCAUUUGCCAAGGAUGUUUUCAUUAAUCAAGAACGAAAGUUAGGGGAUCGAAGACGAUCAGAUACCGUCGUAGUCUUAACCAUAAACUAUGCCGACUAGGAAUCAGACGAUGUUAAUUUUUUAAUGACUCGUUUGGCACCUUACGGGAAACCAAAGUGU
rnacentral:rRNA from 1 species